rnacentral:rRNA from 1 species
GCGGAGGAAAAGAAAAUAACAAUGAUUCCCUCAGUAAUGGCGAAUGAACAGGGAAAAGCUCAAAGUUGGAACCUCCUGGCCUUAGGUUAGGCGGAUUGUAAACUAAAGUUUUCGAGUAGUUUGGCUAGCCUGGUAAAUAAGUUCUCUGGAAAGGGACGACAAAGAGGGUGAAAUCCCCGUUUUUGGCCAGAGUUUUAGUCUUGCGUUUGCUUGGGAAUGAAGAGUCAGGUUGUUUGGUAUUGCAGCCUAAAGUUGGAGGUAAAUCUCUCCUAAAGCUAAAUAUUGACGAAAGACCGAUAGCGAACAAGUACCGUGAGGGAAAGAUGAAAAGCACCUUGAAAAGGGGGUCAAAAAGUACGUGAAAUUGCUGAAAGGGAACCGUAUGAAAUCAGUUUGGCCAGUUAGUAAUCAACCUAAACUUUGGUUUGGGUGCACUUGCUAGCAGGUACAGCUUACGACAAUUUUGCUCGGGGGAAAAAAUCAGGGGAAAUGUAGCUUCGGCCUCGGUUGAAGUGUUAUAGUCCUUUGAAAAAUACUCUGGGCGGGAUUGAGGAACGCAGCAAGCCUUUGGGAUGAACUGUGGGUGCUUGUUGGCUCUGAGGAGGAAAUUUCUAUUUAGGUAGUGUUCUUUUCAGGGCUGAUAACUCGCCUACUUUUUCUUUUUCUUGCUUAGGUCGUAGGCAUAAUGAUUUUAUAUGAC